ensembl:lncRNA
CAGGCGCCCCGGAACCCGCCGCACCCGCCGAGUGUGUGGAGUUCGCCGCCGAGCCUGCCGGCAUGCGGGAGAUCGUGGUGGCCAUGACGGCGGUGGGUGGUUCCAUCUGCGUUAUGCUCGUGGUCAUCUGCCUGCUCGUGGCCUACAUCACCGAGAACCUCAUGCACCCGGCCUUCGGGCGCCCGGGCCUACGCAGGCAGCCCUGAAGCGCGAGGCACCUGCCCGCCCGGGCUCUACCUGCCCGACUAGGGCGCAGGAGGCCCCGAGCCCUCGGCCCGCUCUCCCCUCGUCGCUCCUGCUCCCUCUUUAGGACCUCCACACAGGGCCUUCUGGAGAUGGAUGGGGCACCGGCCCUUACCAGGGCCUGGAGUCACCGGACGACCUUCCCAGCCGAGCAGCUGACUCCCAGAUUCCAGUUCGGGACUGGCCCUUGGGCCUGAGGAGAGGUGCCAGCCCUGUCCAGGGCUCUCCUCGCUCUCCAGAGGCCUUUGGCGGCGCCGUGAGACCACAGAGCCCCUUUUCAGAAGAGCCAUCGGCAGCCCCUGGCCGUCACCCUGCGCCUCCAGCCCGUGCCGAGUUGGAAAAAAGCCAGGCUAUCGUCAUGGCUUGGUCACUGUGUACUUGACCAACUCAAGGGCCCUCGAGCCUGUCCCCUCCCCGCCCCGCCCCAGUGGGUUUAGGUAGCUUCGUGCCUUAGUAUCUCCGGCCCAUUGCGGGAGCCAGCCACCCGUCCAAUACUGUCGGAAAAGAUCUGUGGCCCCGAUGCUGGCAGCUUGUGUGUGCUUCUGGCUAAAGCCCCCUGGGGACCCUCCCUUCAAGCUUUGCAGGAGUGAUUGGCCUGGGGAAGCAGGGUCCCGCGGCAUUUCCUCGUUUGAGCAUCCGACAGGCUGGAAGCCACGGCUUAGCUCAGCAGGCGGCCCAGCGUUCAGCUGUUGUAUCCAGGAGGGCACAGGACAGAUGCCAACCUUGCCCGGCUGGACCUGCCACUGUGGUCUGGAUCCCAAGCCUCAACCACAGCAUGACGGACAGUACCGUCCACCCCCUCCUAGAGCUGCUGGAGAUGCUGCUGCCUGCCGGGCCCCUCCACCCUCUCACCAUGGACUGAAGACCGGCCUUGCCCCUCUGUGGGCACCAACCACAUGACAACGCUGGGCUCUGUGUGAGCCCCUGACUCUGGCCGUUCUGGACCUGGCACUUCUGGAGUCACUGUGGCUAACUCCUCCCCGCUCACCCCAGCAGCCACCAGUGACCCCCACACCAGCAGCCUGGCUGGUGCCCCCGAAAUGCCCACUCCCUACCUCUCUGUCCUUGCUCUGCCCACCCCUGGUGUGGCACUGGCCAGGUGUGAGCCUGGUACCAGUGUCUAAAUGUCCAUCAUUCUUAGACCAAAACCACUGUUUUGUGUACUUAUUUGUGACAGGGGAGAGAAGGGGUAGGGUGAAAGUUGAGCCCCUUUUCCUGGCUCCUCAGGCAUCAGUCAGUCCAGUGGUUGGCCCUGAACCCUUUGCCAGGUCACCUGGGGUCAGCACAGGCCAGGGGCACAGGCAUGCUGCCCUUGCAGUUUGUGUCAGAGGAACAGGCGGCAUGUCCCUGGCUGGCCUUUCCACCCAGGGAGCUGGGGAAAGCGUCUUCUCCCUGCCUGCUCUGUUGGGUGGGGGCAGGGCGGCACUGCUGCGGUUAGAAAAAGCCCAGUCUCAGGGAUGAUCUACUCGAGCUAAGACAAGCUGCAAUUAGACACCUCCAGGAGAGCCCCCUCCCUGGCCUGGGUCUCCCCACGUGGUGCUGGAGCUGGGGUAGGGGGCACAGGUCGCAAGCAGGGCUCCUCUGGCCCUUCCCCCACCCCACCCUGGGCCUCCCCCACCUAGGCUAGGGUGUCCUUGAGAUUCUGCAGCUGGCGGUGACCCUUCUGAGCAAACAGCUGUGGGCGGGCCAGGCUCUAAGGAGUGACUCAUCCCUGCCACCAGGGGGUGGGGGUGCAGUGCAGUGUCUAGACAGCCCUGGGAGUAGGAGGGGUUUUACUUCAUCCUGGCUUCCUGGGGGCCUUCUGCAUCCCUCUGCCACCUGUGAGGGCGCUCAGGUAUCUUCCACAGGCGGGCAGUCCAGCCUCCAGCUCCUGUGUGCAGCCGGUUUCAGAGCUGGGGCC